GUCCACGCCCUAAACGAUGAUGACUAGUUGUUGGAGGAGUUAAAUCCUUUAGUAACGCAGCUAACGCGAGAAGUCAUCCGCCUGGGGAGUACGGUCGCAAGAUUAAAACUCAAAGGAAUUGACGGGGGCCCCGCACAAGCGGUGGAUGAUGUGGUUUAAUUCGACGCAACGCGAAAACCUUACCUACCCUUGACAUGUACGGAAGCCCGCUGAGAGGUGGGUGUGCCCGAAAGGGAGCCGUAACACAGGUGCUGCAUGGCUGUCGU
rnacentral:rRNA from 1 species